AAUCAUUCGACCUUCUCCACCAGAUUUCCCUUCUCCUCUCCUCCAUCAAAUUUCCACCGCCGCCACCUGCCACAAUUCCCUGCAACUCUCACCGCCAAGCCGCCUUCGUCGCGGCGGCCACCACCGAGAUAUGUCACCUCUCUUUUCCCCGUCAGCCCUCCGAUCUGCCGACUCCCCAAAAUUGAUUUGGGGAAAAUCAGAAAUCGCCGGCCGCCGCCACCUGCCACAAUUCCCUGCAACUCUCACCGCCAAGCCGCCUUCGUCGCGCCGCGCCGGUCACUUAUUUGAUUAUUUGAUUAAGUUAUUUUCCUGCGCCAAUUUCCAACGGAUAGAUCCCCAAAUCCUCAUCGCCUCCUUGCGACUUCCGGCGACCACGGCAGCCAUGGCCGCCGAUCUGCCCCUCCCACCACCAGAAAUCGAUCUGCCACCUCCCUUCCCCCAUAUG
rnacentral:lncRNA from 1 species